CUCAACCGUGGAGGGUCAUUGGAAACUGGGGAACUUGAGUGCAGAAGAGGAAAGUGGAAUUCCACGUGUAGCGGUGAAAUGCGUAGAGAUGUGGAGGAACACCAGUGGCGAAGGCGACUUUCUGGUCUGUAACUGACACUGAGGCGCGAAAGCGUGGGGAGCGAACAGGAUUAGAUACCCUGGUAGUCCACGCCGUAAACGAUGAGUGCUAAGUGUUAGGGGGUUUCCGCCCCUUAGUGCUGCAGCUAACGCAUUAAGCACUCCGCCUGGGGAGUACGGCCGCAAGGCUGAAACUCAAAGGAAUUGACGGGGGCCCGCACAAGCGGUGGAGCAUGUGGUUUAAUUCGAAGCAACGCGAAGAACCUUACCAGGUCUUGAUAUCCUCUGACAACUCUGGAGAUAGAGCGUUCCCCUUCGGGGGACAG
rnacentral:rRNA from 1 species